UUGCUCUUCUCUUUAACCCUCCCUUCCUCCUUGCUUAUUUCUUUCCUUCCUUCAUUUUACUCAGACAAAUUAAGCUAGCUUUGACAUCAUGCUAAUCAUAUCAACUUAAAAAUAACUACUAUAAGUUUGCUUCUAAAUUCUGGACUGAAAUCUGUGAUAAGAUGAAGCUCUGAACUAAGUCAAUAUUUAUUUUAUUUUGUUUUUGUAACAAACACAAAUUCCCAAAUGGCAUUAAACUGCUAAAUAGUAAAUUCCUACUGAAGUGAUAAGCAAAGGAUUUUGACUUCCGCUUUUGUGUAUAGAAGGAGUGACUGACGAAUGCAAAGUAGAAAGAGCAGUGACCGGGAAAGUGCAGGAAGUGAUAGUGAGAAGGCACACUGAGACGCCACUUCCUAUGUGACAGGCAGGGUUUAAACUCAACAUAUACGGAUUAAUUUAAUUGUCACCAUAACACCUUGCUGGAGGUAUUAUUGCUUCUCCAAUUUACAUUCGAGAAAACUGAGGCAUAGAGAUAUUAAGGACACACAGCUACUAAUUGGCAGAGGUAAAGGGUCCACACACAGAAGGAUCAUACUGCGCUGUUUUCUCUCAAUUGAAACUGAAGCAUAAAUUUGCAGCGUGACGGAGGACAGAGUCUUCUGUGAAGCAUUAGGACUGUCUUUUAGUGCCUUCCUUUGAGGGAAGAAAUCCCAAAGGGUUUCAGAAAGCUCCUCUCACCAUAGUAAGGGAGGACAACUCCAGAAGGCAGGAGUGUGGCCAGCCUGAGAAGGUGGCCGUGUGGCACGAUGGAGACUGGUGGAGAGAGUACUUAGAAGAACUGGCGGGACAUCUGCAGCUCUUUCCCAUCCCUGCAAUCUGCUUUGACACCACCAUGUUAACAGCUGAAUCCUUUAUGUGAUAAUUAUACGAACAAAUGCUCCAACUGCUUUUGACCAUACCACUCAGGAUUAAGGCAUCUGGACUUCCCUGUAUGUGACAGAUGUCCCUUGGGCCUGGACAACAGAAGAAGUUGCCAUGAGAUUUUGGGCCUUCUGGCUUGAGCUCAGGAUCUAGGAAUGUGGUUAGAAGAGGACAAAAAAUAUUGCCUUGAGAAGUCACUCGCUGUGCCAUUGGUUGGCCCAUGACUCAGCAGAGAUCUUUCCCCAAGAGCAUAUUUUACAAUGAAACAAAGGAUGAGACCCCAGAGUACAGAAUGAAUCUACGUGUGUACUGGGAACUGGGAGAUGAGGGCAAACGUGAGUGCAAAGAGAGAAAGAAGAUGGAGGCCCCAUGAUUCUGCUUCCGUGGCAACAGCCAAAGCCAUAUUCUGCCACUUCUACCGUAUCUCCUCUAUUCUCUAGAUGGCGGCUGCUCAGCCAAAGGAAAGAAUUCGAUCUGAGGUUGGAGGAAGAGGAAUGAGUCCACAGAUACACAUUUUGGAUGUGCUGCCUGGAGAUGAUGCAAGUGCUGUCAAGUUUCCCAACCUGGAUUUUAUUUCCUUCAUGAUGAGAAAUAGAAGUACAUAAUUUGGCAGAGAGAAAAGUGAUUAUCCUGUUGGUUAAGAGGAAAAUGUUUUAGUGAUAUGAAAAAUAAAAAAUCACUACAAAUUCCAAGUGAUAUGUGAUGCUGCUGUAAGUGUGGGAGGUAAGAAUGUCUGGGGAAAAGGAAUUGUUUGUGGAGGAUGGGUGGGUUUGAAUGAGUGGGACUUUGUUCCAGAAAACUAAGAUGGGCAGAUGGAGUUUGGUUUUGGAGCAUGACUUAGACUGGAAUGUGCAUCCAGAAAAAUCCACUGUCUCUCUAUUUUUCAUUUUCUUGAUGCAUCCUCUAACUUUGUUUUCUGUGUCUUUUUUCCCCUGCGUUUCACUCCUGACCUUUUCUUUUAACCAUUUUUUUCAAACAAUUAUGCCUUUACAUGUCUUGAUUACAUGUCUUCUUGUUCAAAACACACGCACAAAUGACGUGCCUCCAACUUAUACAUAUAGAAGUGCUAUUAAACUAUAAAAGGCCCAGGUGGAAGAACACUGCAGCCUGGACCAUCUGAAGAGCUAUAUCUUGCUCUAGGUUUUCCCAAAGUUGGCAGAUUUUAGGGUCAACUCGAUAAAUGAGUCUGUUCUGAACAGUAUAUCGAAAGUGGUGUAUGUAACUUCUCAAAUCCAAAGAGACAUACCUAGCAUGUAGUUUUCAAAUGCACCAUUUUUUUUUACACCUGAAGGUAACUAACUUACAUGUUCAAACUAUUAGACACUAGAAACUUUACAGAGGUAUCAGGCUCCAGGAUUUAUCUCCCUAUUCAUAAAUAUAACUUAAAAGACCUCCAUGAUAACUGGUAAUUCUGAGUUACCAAGUCCUAUUAGAAUGCUAUUACUGCUGUAGUGUUUGAAAGAUCCAUAAAUGCAUAAUAGGUCCUGGGAUCUGUGUUGAUAUGCAAUUGGAGUAAAUAACUGAUUAAGCUUAAAAUAACUGCCUGGUAUAUACUAAGAAUAAUCAUCUCCUGUACUAGCUGAUUUAAAGGAGAAUGUAAUAGAGAUCCUAAGUCUUGCAUCUUUAAAGUUUUGAUGAUGGUGUUAGUCAUUGAUUUCCCCAGGAGUAUAACACUGUUUUUAGCAUCAAUUUUGAAAGGUAGGGUAAAUUCCAGGAACUUUCAGUGUUCAAACUUUCUCUCACUCCAUGAAUUGGAAAAGCAACAUGGGCAUUAUGCUAGUUAUUAAAGUAUCAGUUAUAUGUAAUUAAUAUAAUUGGAUUUAUCUUCCUAUCUAAGAGAAACGAAAAAACUGAACUAAAUAAAUAACACAAUGCUUUUCAAGAUAUUGGGCAUGAGGCAACAGAAAAUGGAGACUUUUGAGAUACAGAAAAUGAGGUAAACCCUAAAAUUGCCUAAGGUUACUUAUUUGAGGGAACUUCCAGGUUACAGAGUGAGAAGGAGAAACCCAGGUAGAGCUAGGCAGACUUCCUAUGUUGAAGACACAGAUCUCAUAGUCCAGGGAAAACAAGGUAGCUAGAUUGUCAGUAGAUGAUAGAGUACUGGGAUAACAAAGCUGCACAGAGAGAGUUCCAGAGAUCUGUAGAGGGAUCCCUCAAGUGUUCAUCAGACUACUGAUCAGUGAAAGAAUGUGAAAAACUACCUGAGGCUUGGAAAUGAACCACCUAAAAGGAUUAGAAUACAGUAACUUGAGCUCACCCAGGGCUGGGAAUAAACUCUAUUUCCAUCACCCAGAUUGGAAACCCUCAUAAUUCAUUGAACAUUUGGUAUUCAGAAGACUCUUGCCUCUGUGCUAGGGAAUAAUUAGCUAGACUGAGCACUGCUCCAGACCUUAACAAAUCUUAAAUAUAAGGCUCAAAAGCCUCAAACCAUUUUUUAGUAUCAUGAAUGAGUCCAAGAACAAAGAUUGAGAAUAUAGGAUUACAAAAUUAUCCAGCAUCCAACAAGGUAAAAUUAACAAUGCCUGAUGUCCAAUAAAAAAUUAUCAGCCAUUCAGACAGGCAGGAGAAUGCAAUCCAUAAUGAGGAGAAAAUGAAAUCAAUUGAAACUGACCCAGAUGUUAGAAUUGGCAGACAAGAACAUUAAAGCAGUUAUUACAACUGUAUUCCAUAUGUUCAAAAAGCUACAGGAAAAAUUGAAUAUGUAAGUAGUGACAGAAAAGACAUAAAAAUAUAGCCAAACGUCUAGAGGUGAAAACGACAAUGUCUGAGAUGAAAAAUGCAUUGGAUGUUAUUAACUGCAGACUAUACAUUGCAGAACAAAUGAUUAGUGAAUUCGUAGACAAAGCAAUAGAAAUUAUGCAAAAUUGGAACACACAGGGAAAAAUAUAUAAUUUAAAAAUGAACAGGGGCACCAAAAUAGCUCAGUCAGUUUAGCGUCU